GACAGAGGGUGCAAACGUUGUUCGGAAUUACUGGGCGUAAAGCGCGUGUAGGCUGCUCAGAAAGUCGGAUGUGAAAGCCCUGGGCUUAACCUAGGAAGUGCAUUCGAAACUUCUGAGCUUGAGUUCUGGAGAGGAAGGCGGAAUUCUUGGUGUAGAGGUGAAAUUCGUAGAUAUCGAGAGGAACACCGGUGGCGAAGGCGGCCUUCUGGACAGUGACUGACGCUGAGACGCGAAAGCGUGGGGAGCAAACAGG
rnacentral:rRNA from 1 species